rnacentral:lncRNA from 1 species
AACCUUAAUAUAACGGGGAUUUCUCUUUUUCUUUUCUUCUUAGGGAAAAUGUUACAUUAAGUUAUAACAAAUGACAUGGCUUUAAGUUUGGAGGUAUGGGCCGGAAUGCUGCUAAGAGACCUUUGUGACUACUCCAGUCCCAAGUACCCCUGAUCUAAUGGGGGUGUACCCAACUGAAACAGCUUGCACAGUCAGGAUCUGCCAUGGGCAGUGCUUAGGAGCAGUCUGCACAACAAAAGGACAAAAUGAAGGGGUGAUUACAGUGCUGGAGGAAGAGGGAAGGCACACAUGUCCAAGGUUUUCUCUGACUAAAGAUCUGAUGGCAUAUAGACUUCAGUUUAGGUGGCAUGAGGGAAGCAGAGAAGAAUACAUAUAAAUAUCCAGCACCAGCAUAAAACAUAUUGGUAUGGAGUUGAUCUCACUGUUCUUCUUUUGAU